GUGUGUGUGAGGUAUGGCCUAGUCAGAUGAUAGUGGCGUGUGUGUGUGAGGUAUGGCCUAGUCAGAUGAUAGUGGCGUGUGUGUGUGAGGUAUGGCCUAGUCAGAUGAUAGUGGCGUGUGUGUGUGAGGUAUGGCCUAGUCAGAUGAUAGUGGCGUGUGUGUGUGAGGUAUGGCCUAGUCAGAUGAUAGUGGUGUGUGUGUGUGAGGUAUGGCCUAGUCAGAUGAUAGUGGUGUGUGUGUGUGAGGUAUGGCCUAGUCAGAUGAUAGUGGUGUGUGUGAGGUAUGGCCUAGUCAGAUGAUAGUGGUGUGUGUGAGGUAUGGCCUAGUCAGAUGAUAGUGGUGUGUGUGUGUGUGAGGUAUGGCCUAGUCAGAUGAUAGUGGCGUGUGUGUGUGAGGUAUGGCCUAGUCAGAUGAUAGUGGCGUGUGUGUGUGAGGUAUGGCCUAGUCAGAUGAUAGUGGCGUGUGUGAGGUAUGGCCUAGUCAGAUGAUAGUGGCGUG